UACGGGGGGGGCAAGCGUUGUUCGGAAUUACGGGGCGUAAAGGGCUCGUAGGCGGCCAACUAAGUCGGGCGUGAAAUGCCGGGGCUCAACCCCGGGACUGCGUCCGAUACUUCCGAGCUGGAGGUAGGUAGGGGAGAUCGGAAUUCCUGGUGUAGCGGUGAAAUGCGCAGAUAUCAGGAGGAACACCGGUGGCGAAGGCGGAUCUCUGGGCCUUACCUGACGCUGAGGCGCGAAAGCUAGGGGAGCGAACAGG
rnacentral:rRNA from 1 species